rnacentral:rRNA from 1 species
UCUUCCCUCUUUCUUCGUGCCUAAUACAUGCAAGUCGAGCGAACAGACGAGGAGCUUGCUCCUUUGACGUUAGCGGCGGACGGGUGAGUAACACGUAGGUAACCUACCUAUAAGACUGGGAUAACUUCGGGAAACCGGAGCUAAUACCGGAUAAUAUUUCGAACCGCAUGGUUCGAUAGUGAAAGAUGGCUUUGCUAUCACUUAUAGAUGGACCUGCGCCGUAUUAGCUAGUUGGUAAGGUAACGGCUUACCAAGGCAACGAUACGUAGCCGACCUGAGAGGGUGAUCGGCCACACUGGAACUGAGACACGGUCCAGACUCCUACGGGAGGCAGCAGUAGGGAAUCUUCCGCAAUGGGCGAAAGCCUGACGGAGCAACGCCGCGUGAGUGAUGAAGGUCUUCGGAUCGUAAAACUCUGUUAUUAGGGAAGAACAAACGUGUAAGUAACUGUGCACGUCUUGACGGUACCUAAUCAGAAAGCCACGGCUAACUACGUG